rnacentral:lncRNA from 1 species
AGAGAAGGAAUAGUUCUUCAUUUUUUUAUUUAUUUAUAUUGGAGGACUUAUUUUUAGCUAGUAGUUCAUGUGGCCACAUCAGAUAUAUAGUGACUAAUUUUUCCAUUCAAUCUUCACCCUUCAAUUAAAAUUUAUUAGUACCUAGCAUGUGCCAUGCACAUGCAUUUCAAGAGGAGAGGGAGAGAUGGGAAUAUACGUAG